rnacentral:rRNA from 1 species
GACGAACGCUGGCGGCGUGCUUAACACAUGCAAGUCGAACGGAAAGGCACUGCUUUUGUGGGGUGCUCGAGUGGCGAACGGGUGAGUAACACGUGAGUAACCUGCCCUUGACUUUGGGAUAACUUCAGGAAACUGGGGCUAAUACCGGAUAGGAGCUCCUGCUGCAUGGUGGGGGUUGGAAAGUUUCGGCGGUUGGGGAUGGACUCGCGGCUUAUCAGCUUGUUGGUGGGGUAGUGGAUUACCAAGGCUUGGACGGGUAGCCGGCCCUAGAGGGUGACCGGCCACAUUGGGACUGCGAGACGGCCCAGACUCCUACGGUAGGCAGCAGUGGGGAAUAUUGCACAAUGGGCGGAAGCCUGAUGCAGCAACGCCGCGUGCGGGAUGACGGCCUUCGGGGUGUAAACCGCUUUCGCCUGUGACGAAGCGUGAGUGACGGUAAUGGGUAAAGAAGCACCGGCUAACUACGUG